rnacentral:misc_RNA from 1 species
AUGGUUAUAAAUAUGUUGUGGACGUUGUUAUCAUAUGGAUCAAUCAGAUGCUGUCAAAUAUUGUGGUUGUCUGAAAAAUGAAAACAACGUCCACAACAUAUUUAUAACCAUCUUACAACAGGAAAUUAAAAACACACAUGAAUGGCUAACCACAACAGUUGUUCUUCUGCUGGAUUGGCUGCCCCUUCAUUUGAACAGUUGUUCCUGUUGACUUGCUUGCAGCUGGCUGGCUACCCAUUUUUUUCUUAAUUUCUCCAGCCAUGGUUAAGAAAGCCUGCUCCACAUUAAUUGAAUCUUUAGCACU